rnacentral:rRNA from 2 species
UGCCAGUGAUAAACUGGAGGAAGGUGGGGAUGACGUCAAGUCAUCAUGGCCCUUACGAGUAGGGCUACACACGUGCUACAAUGGCGCAUACAAAGAGAAGCGACCUCGCGAGAGCAAGCGGACCUCAUAAAGUGCGUCGUAGUCCGGAUUGGAGUCUGCAACUCGACUCCAUGAAGUCGGAAUCGCUAGUAAUCGUGGAUCAGAAUGCCACGGUGAAUACGUUCCCGGGCCUUGUACACACCGCCCGUCACACCAUGGGAGUGGGUUGCAAAAGAAGUAGGUAGCUUAACCUUCGGGAGGGCGCUUACCACUUUGUGAUUCAUGACUGGGGUGAAGUCGUAACAAGGUAACCGUAGGGGAACC